rnacentral:rRNA from 1 species
GGGGAAUUUUGGACAAUGGGCGCAAGCCUGAUCCAGCAAUGCCGCGUGCAUGAUGAAGGCCUUCGGGUUGUAAACUGCUUUUGUACGGAACGAAAAGCCUCUCUCUAAUACAGGGGGGUGAUGACGGUACCGUAACAAUAAGCACCGGCUAAUUACGUGCCAGCAGCCGCGGUAAUACGUAGGGUGCAAGCGUUAAUCGGAAUUACUGGGCGUAAAGCGUGCGCAGGCGGUUUUGUAAGACAGUGGUGAAAUCCCCGGGCUCAACCUGGGAAAUGCCAUGGUGACUGCAAGGCUGGAGUGCGGCAGAGGGGGAUGGAAUUCCGCGUGUAGCAGUGAAAUGCGUAAAUAUGCGGAGGAACACCGAUAGCGAACGCAAUCCCCUGGGCCUGCACUGACGCUCAUGCACGAAAGGGUGGGUAGCAAACA